GGAACAGUAGCAAAGCUGGUCAAUGCAACGGAUUGAAGAUCCGUGGAUACAGGUUCGAGUCCUGUCUGUUCCA
rnacentral:tRNA from 1 species